rnacentral:rRNA from 1 species
AGUGAACGCUGGCGGUAGGCCUAACACAUGCAAGUCGAACGGCAGCACAGUAAGAGCUUGCUCUUACGGGUGGCGAGUGGCGGACGGGUGAGGAAUACAUCGGAAUCUACUUUUUCGUGGGGGAUAACGUAGGGAAACUUACGCUAAUACCGCAUACGACCUACGGGUGAAAGCAGGGGAUAUUCGGACCUUGCGCGAUUGAAUGAGCCGAUGUCGGAUUAGCUAGUUGGCGGGGUAAAGGCCCACCAAGGCGACGAUCCGUAGCUGGUCUGAGAGGAUGAUCAGCCACACUGGAACUGAGACACGGUCCAGACUCCUACGGGAGGCAGCAGUGGGGAAUAUUGGACAAUGGGCGCAAGCCUGAUCCAGCCAGACCGCGUGUGUGAAGAAGGCCUUCGGGUUGUAAAGCCCGUUUGUUGGGAAAGAAAAGCAGCAGGUUAAUACCCCGCUGUUCUGACGGUACCCAAAGAAUAAGCACCGGCUAACUUCGUG